ACGCACGCUGGCGGCGUGCUUAACCCAUGCCAGUCGCACGGAAAGGCCCUGCUUUUGUGGGGUGCUCGAGUGGCGAACGGGGGAGUAACACGGGAGUAACCUGCCCUUGACUUUGGGAUAACUUCAGGAAACUGGGGCUAAUACCGGAUAGGAGCUCCGGCUGCAUGGUGGGGGUUGGAAAGUUUCGGCGGUUGGGGAUGGACUCGCGGCUUAUCAGCUUGUUGGUGGGGUAGUGGCUUACCAAGGCUUUGACGGGUAGCCGGCCUGAGAGGGUGACCGGCCACAUUGGGACUGAGAUACGGCCCAGACUCCUACGGGAGGCAGCAGUGGGGAAUAUUGCACAAUGGGCGGAAGCCUGAUGCAGCAACGCCGCGUGCGGGAUGACGGCCUUCGGGUUGUAAACCGCUUUCGCCUGUGACGAAGCGUGAGUGACGGUAAUGGGUAAAGAAGCACCGGCUAACUACGUG
rnacentral:rRNA from 1 species